GAGAGAAAUUAAGAAAUUUAUCAUAACUGGUUAUACAAAUAUUGUAACAGUUUUCCCCAGAAGAGAAUGUGCUAUGUGAACAGACACACACCCGCAAGUUGUUAAACUAAUAUACUCUUUGUCUUUUAUAUUUUGUACUCUUAGAUGUGACCUUUAGGAAAAUUGCUGCAGAUGUAGUAGAACAGGGAUGGAGAUAAAGGGAUACAGAACACAUUUUUCCUCUUUAUUUGAUUAAUAGCAAAUAUGCCUAUUUGGAAGCUCUCUUAAUUUCCUGAUACUAAAGGAUUUUAAACUCCCUGGACUUGUAUAUGUCAACUGGGAGGUCAAGUAUGACAUUUAAAAAUGAUAAUGCUUCAAAGUAUAAGUCAUUACUCAAGAAUACUAUGUUUGUGAAACCAUGCUGAUAGAGCAAGAAGCCACUGCUCCUUGGACUUCCUUUCUGCCCUAUGAUUUGUUGCCAUCAGUAUUAUAUUGCUGGGCAUGCCAGCCUAGAGUUUCUUUAAUCAGGAGCUUUUCCUAAAGAGUCACUCUUGAGAAUUUAGGAUCCAUUAAGGAGAAUCUGUUCUGUUCCACAGAGUUUUAUAGCAUCAUCCCAUGAGUUAUGCAGGAAUCUGGUUUACAACUAUUAGGCUCCUAAAAGUGAGGGCAAGCCUAAGCAAUCUAAAGGGCUGGACAAUAUGACUGAAGUACCUAGAAGUUCCAUGAAGUCACUGGAAAUUGUUGAAUCAAUCCAUUUUCUUCAGAUCAAACUUUCUAAAGUAGCUAUUGACCUGACAUUCUUCUUAGCCCAAGUUCACAUGUUACAUUUAUUCUAAAGUUUCCUGGGAGCUCCAAACUGGCCCUGGAACAUACUGUACCUAGAACAGUUUGUUGUUCCAGCUUCUAUUUGGUACUGAGAUCCACUGUUGUGCCCUGUUACAAAGGACCGCUUAAAAGCACCUCCCUCUGCAUAAUUUCUAAAGCCUUCAAAGCAUCCAGUACUU